CCAGCUCUAGAUUUUUUGCAACCCAAGCAGAAAAAAGAAAAAGAAAAAAGGAUGGCCGGAAUGUCGCCCCUGGAAUUGUGCUGCUCCAAGCAAGUGCUUGCUUUGCUAGUGCCUAGAACCAGUCCU